CUACUUGGCAGGUGCAGGGAUUUCUUUCUGAAGCACCAAUCCCGAGGAAUGAAAAUCCACUGAAAUACUGGAACAACAACUGGAGUCGGUUUCCUAUCAUUGCCAAAGUAGCACGCAAGUUCCUGUCAGCCCCAUGUACUAGCGUGGACAGCGAGAGAUUAUUCAGUUUGGUUUCUAAUGUGAUCAACAAAAAGAGAAACAGAAUUUCCUGCGACAAGGUAGAAAUGCUCUUGUUUGUGAAGAAAAACCUCCCCAUCAUGUUUAAAAAAUAGAAAAGAAUAAUAAGCCUCCAGAACAAAAGGGGGAGCAUACACAGAAGUUAGAAAGAACAGGACCUAUUAAUAUGGAGCCUUGGUGACUACCUGUUGAAGCUCAUCGAAAGAAUGCCAAGAGUGUGCAAAGCAGUAAUCAGAGCAAGGAUAUCAAUGAAAAAGCUUGCACGAACAACUAGCCUUAACGCAACAUCUUUCUAGGAAAAUUUAAACCAUGGAGUUAUUGAAGGUAUAGAAGGAAAAGCUAAUUAUUGCAAACUUGAGAAAGGCAAACAAACUCUCUCUCAUAAGCAACCUGUACUUUCUGAAUAUUUUUUUCUGUGGUGGCAUCAUCAAAUUAUUCCAUGAGAAGAACCCUGAAUACAAUGAGGACUGAUUGAGUACUGUACUGAGAAACGGCCCAGUGAGGGAAAGUGACUCCACCCCUUCCAGUCCCUGGGCCAUAAAAGCAUGACCACCUGGAAGGAGGCAUCACUUCACAACAGACCAACCAGAGAGAUGGGUUUCCUCGAUAGCCUGAAAAAAAACUAAAAAAAUGGUCAGUCCUGUGUUAAUUGGAGGCUGUUGUUUUGUUCUGUUUUGGUGCCAUCAAGCAUUUCUUUUUAUUGUGUCCUUUUAAGUAAACUGGGAUGGCCGGGUUGUCGCCCCAACAUUUAUUUUGUUGAGGCUGUCAUUCCCUCAAAUUACCUAUAUAUUUACAUACACACACACACACUUUGUUUUCAGUAAUAUUUAAUAAUAUAUUUUCUGAGUUUUUCUUAUUCUUCCUAAUCAUUUUUUGCCAUGUGUUGAUGAUUCAGCGUACUGAAUGGAUUGAUUUUCUUAAGACAUAGUUACAUUAUAUUUGAAUAGCUUAAGAUUUUAGGAUUCAAUUUUAAAUAAUUUUCUUUGCUUCCUUUUUUUCGUUUAGUUUCUUGUGCUGUGAUUUAUAAGCAGUGCUGUGAUGUUUUUGUACAUUAAUAUAGCAAUAAACACAUUACCUGUAUCUCUAUCUACUACUAUAUAUGUACUUUACAUCAGUGUCUCUGUUCAAAGUCUGUAACAUCUUUAUUGUUGUGACAAAUGUAUACAUUGUGUUGCCAAAAGUAAGAAAUAAAGAAAUAUAAAUGUUGAA